rnacentral:lncRNA from 1 species
CUUGAAACCCGAACUCGGUUCUCCACGAUACCAUUUCUUUAAGCUGAAUAAUACUAAAUAAUAAUACAUUCGAACUUAAUUUACAUACAUCAAAGUUUACUUCCCCAGGUACGUGACCUUCAAAUACAUUCCUUACAAUACCUGACAAUAGAUUCCAUUGUCUUACUAACUAUAACCAUUAACUCAUACUAAAUCUCAUUCGAACAGCUUUUCUUUUCCCUUGUUCGUGCCUGAGCCUUCAGGUCGAUCGUACGUAACUGAAAACAUUUAGUUUAAGCAAGGAUGAGCAUUUGAGUGCCCAGCAAGUAAUAGCAAUUAUAUAUAUAAGCUGAAAGAAUAUAAGUAUUCUCUUUACAUAACACUUCUACAACGAAUCGAAAGUUGUGAAGUAAUCUGUACUGAUAAAAAUUUCACAUAACAACUCUCUUCCAAAUUAUUUAAAUUUGGCUUUGGCUCUACCCAUGAAUAGGGUUUAAGAAACAUAAUAUGAACAUUCUUUUCAUUUUUGAAAAGGUUUAGCAGAAAUCCAUCCGCAAACCGUCAUAACUUACGGGCACGAAGGGUGAUCAGCCCCGUUGUACCCUUUAUUGAUCAAUACUACAUAACUUGAACGAAAUUCAUCGCUCACCCUAUCCGCCUUGGGCGCAAAAAUCUUCCCAUAUAGGGAUGUUCAUACAUGCCUGGUUCCAAACCCGAAGGUUUUUAAUCUUGCUCAACAAUAAUAUGUAAUUCAACAUAUAUGUAUACGGGUAAUUGACAAAGGUAUAUCAACAUGUGAAUAAAUGCCAUGAUUAUCCAAGUGGGGACACUUGUAUAACCAUUUAGAAAUCAACUUAACAGAAUAUAUAUCUGAGCUAACAUGUUGAUAAUCAAAGCGUACAUAAUCUGUACAGGAAUAGAAUAAUUCUGAAACUUCUUACUCAUGUCCAUUGCAUAAAGGAAAUGCAAAGGUAGGAUACUUGCCUGAUUCGCUGAUUACAAAUCUCAACUUAGGUUUUAUCUCUUUAUCACAACCUAUCAAUAAUCAGAUCAUUCGUUCGAUUAGAACAAUAUAUCUUAACACAUAGUACUGUCUAUUACAGUCAGCACAUAGUCUAAUCACAUAAUCACAGUGAUCAUACUUUUAGUUCAUAUUCUAUACUUGAAAUAUUUUUAUACAUUUUUCAAAUAUCUCAUCCAUGCUCUUACAGAAGUCUUUUCUUUCUAUUAUAGGGUCUGACAUUUGUCGGCGUACCGACAGCUUUAUCGGGUAAAUACUGAGUCUAAGACUCUUAUCCUAUACCUCAACAUCUGUAAAUAUCAAACAUUUUAUUUUUAAUCAUUUUCGAAUUUUCCAGAAAUUGAAAAAUUUAAAAUAAUUCAAAUCUGUCACUACCGGGCCUAUAGUGAUAUAACUGUUACUAUAGGUGUUCCUCAAAACUUCAUAACUUCAUAAUCGGUUCUCAAGUCAGCUAGUUUGGCCGGCUAUAACUUUCAAACAUCGGAAUCAUAAUUAAAUGAUUUAAACAUUAAACAAUUCCAUUAUCAUUAAUAAUUAAUUUAUAUUAAACUAUUAAUGAAACCAUUGCCAAAAUAUAAAAGUUAUUUAUAAUAACUCAAACUAUUUUUAAAACAUUUAUAUUACCCUUAAAUGAUUUUUAAAACAAUUAAAAUCAUUUUUAAAUAAUCACCAUUAAUAUAUAAAUAUUAAUGUACUAUUCAUCCAAAUAUUAAAAGUCAUUAAUUAUAACUUAAAAUAUUUUUAAAUCCUUAAUAUCCUCUUUAAAUGAUUUUUAAAUAAAUAAAACCAUUUUUAAACUAUUUAUUUAAUAUAAAUAUUAAAUAAACUUAAUAUCACAAAUCAUUAACUAAAUAUCAUUAAUAUAUAAUUAUUAAUGAAAUUAUCUUCUAAAUAUUAAAAGUUAUAUUUUAUAACUCAAAAUAUCUUUAAAUACAUUAUUUUCAUCUAAAAUAAUUUUUAAAAUAUUAAAAUCAUUUGUAAACUAAGAACUAACUUUAAUAUCAUUAAUAUUAAUUAAUUAAUGAAAUUCAUCACAAAAUAUUAAAAGUCAUCACAAAUAACUUAAAAUAUUUUCUUAUACCAUAAAAUAAUUUUUCAUGAUUUUUCAUGAAUUAAAACUAUUUUUAAAUCAUUUAUUUAAUAUUAUAAUUAAAUAAAUAAAUACCUUUUAUAUUCCAAAAAUAUUAAAUAUUUAUGAAUUAUACUCAAAAUAAUUAAAUAUUAUUUUUCGAACUUUAAAAUAAUUUUUCNNNNNNNNNNNNNNNNNNNNNNNNNNNNNNNNNNNNNNNNNNNNNNNNNNNNNNNNNNNNNNNNNNNNNNNNNNNNNNNNNNNNNNNNNNNNNNNNNNNNNNNNNNNNNNNNNNNNNNNNNNNNNNNNNNNNNNNNNNNNNNNNNNNNNNNNNNNNNNNNAAAUUGAAAAAUUUAAAAUAAAUCAAAACUGUCGCUAAAGGCUUUAGCGACGCUUAUCUGUUGCCUUAGGUGUUCUUGAGCUUCAAGAACACUGAUAAGGCAACUUCAAGGUGCCUAGUUUGACCACGAUUUUAGAUCUGAUCGUGAUGUUUCUGGGAAAUCUAACACAUACAUCUUUUAGUGCUCAUGUAAGACUACAAUUACCAACAAACAUCAUAGCUAAACAACAUCAGAUCUAUGAGUUAUUAGCCAUCAAAAAGUCUGACAAGACUGUUCUUCAACCGAUGAACAGUCGAGGUGCCUACUUUGGAUCCUUAUAACUUGAAAUCUAUGUAUGUUUUGUGUGAUAUAUCAAUUUCAAUGUGUAGAAAACAUGUAGGACUACAACGUAAAAGCUUCAUAACAUUAAAACAUCAUAACAUGAGCAAGAUCUAGCCGGUCAAAGUUGACCACGGAAUUUGUUCUUCAAAAAUCUGGGUUCGUGUUCUUCAGCGUUUUCGGUCAACGUACUUUGACCAUGAAUAACUCUUAAUCCAUAAUAGAUAUGGACCUGAUUCUUUCUUUACGUUGCAGACCACAUAACAGACUACACAUAUCAACUUUCAAAACACAAAACACAUUAAAGAUAACUGAGAUAUAAGGCCUGACAUUGUCCAAAAAAAUAUUUUCUGGACACUUAGAAUAUCUUCUGGGUUUGAAGAACUGCCGGUCAAUGCCGGUCAACCCACUUUGACCGCUUAUAAAUCCCAAUCUAAAAUAGCUAUGAACUUGAUUCCUUUUGGAGAUUAAAUACCACAUAACAAGAUACACAAAACAAUUUUUAAACAACAAAACUCAUGAUCGAGCAAAGAGUUAUGGCCUCUGACAUUUGGUGAAAAAUAACAGAAUUCGGUUUUCCCAACUUGCUCAAAUCUUCAAAUUCGUUCACUUUGAUGUUAUGGGUCUGUGUUUUUACAACCCAAAACAUUAAUAGACUCCCUAUUAAACAACUUUAAACAAUCAAUUGCAUCAAUUAACAUCGAGUCGAAGGAUUUUUAAUUUUUGGGAUUUCAUACCUUUUCUUACUUUGAUUUCUUGAUUUCUGACUUUGAUGCUUCUGAUUUGUUGUUUGUGGUUGUUGUGCUUUGAUUAUGAGUGUAUGGGCAAGAGAAAUUCGUUGGUAAGAGGUUGGGAGAGUAUAG